GGGCACAUAGCGUAGGGGUUAUCGCGUUCGCUUUGCAUGUAGAUGAAACCUCGUCACUGCGAAAGGUCCCCGGUUCAAUUCCGGGUGUGUCCA